rnacentral:rRNA from 1 species
GCCUACAGCCAUACCACCCUGAACACGCCCGAUCUCAUCUGAUCUCGAAAGCGAAGCAGGGUCAGGUUAGUACCUGAAUGGGAGCCAUAUACACCCAAAGAAGACCAUACAAAAUGGCCAAUGUUGCAGAGG